CGUGGGUAACCUACCCAUCAGAGGGGGAUAACACUUGGAAACAGGUGCUAAUACCGCAUAACAGUUUAUGCCGCAUGGCAUAAGAGUGAAAGGCGCUUUCGGGUGUCGCUGAUGGAUGGACCCGCGGUGCAUUAGCUAGUUGGUGAGGUAACGGCUCACCAAGGCCACGAUGCAUAGCCGACCUGAGAGGGUGAUCGGCCACACUGGGACUGAGACACGGCCCAGACUCCUACGGGAGGCAGCAUG
rnacentral:rRNA from 1 species